AACGAACGCUGGCGGCAGGCUUAACACAUGCAAGUCGAACGCCCCGCAAGGGGAGUGGCAGACGGGUGAGUAAUACGUGGGAACAUGCCCAAAGGUACGGAAUAUUCUCGGGAAACUGAGAGCAAUACCGUAUGUGCCCGAAAGGGGAAAGAUUUAUCGCCUUUGGAUUGGCCCGCGUCGGAUUAGCUAGUUGGUGGGGUAAAAGCCUACCAAGGCGACGAUCCGUAGCUGGUCUGAGAGGACGACCAGCCACACUGGGACUGAGACACGGCCCAGACUCCUACGGGAGGCAGCAGUGGGGAAUCUUGGACAAUGGGCGCAAGCCUGAUCCAGCCAUGCCGCGUGGAUGAUGAAGGCCCUAGGGUUGUAAAAUCCUUUCGUUGGGGACGAUAAUGACGGUACCCAAAGAAGAAGCUCCGGCUAACUUCGUG
rnacentral:rRNA from 1 species